rnacentral:lncRNA from 1 species
UGAAGUGUAAAAUAAUUUAUUGGCUGCACUAACGCUAGUUUCAAAAGUAAUAGAUGGCCAGCUAGGGGAUAUCUACCCAAAAUAAAUCACACCCAGCGGAUGAUGAGUUACAAUAUUAAUUUUAGAAAUACAGAAUAGGGUCAAUGUCAUCUCUCUACAUCACCAAUUUCCCCUGUUAUUUGCAAAUUAUGCAAAGUAGUCAAAUAAGGCAAAAGUUCCUCAGUAUCCGGAUUGGCGCAGUCGAAACUUGCUGAUGGAAAAAUCAUCCUAACACUCUUGCUGAUAACAACAAUUGUUUUUAUCCCGUACAUCAAAUGUUGAUCUAAAUUUCCGAAGAACAAAGAAAUUAUAUCAGAAUCAAAUUCAUAGGUACCUGCAGAUUACUACAUGGCUAUGGCUUUAUGGAUGUAUGUACAGGUUGCCUGGAAGGAAUAGUAAUUUGAGUUUGUAAUAUGUGUCUAGAAAUCUAGAAACUGAGAGGUACUCUGAUAGGAGAGGAAACAAUAUGAAAAAAAACAAUAACUAUAGAAAUAUAAAGAUUCACCAAGAAACUCAGAUAGCUGCAUCCAUUGUUGAUUUUGCUGAACUAACUACUUUUGCAAUAUUUGAAUAGCUUAAGUAAUGAUCACAUCACAUAACAUGACGUCAAAAUUGCAGCCAUAAAUUGGUGAUACAAAAUCAAAGUUACGCAUAAUCAAAGAUAAAACUACGUCAUCUCUAAAAAGUUAUUAUUCGUAUGUUCAUUCAAUGUUUUCCCCAGUUUUUACCAUUGAAGGGAGCACAUAAACACCAUAGCAAGAAAAAGUAACAAAGUUACAUGCAGAUUCCAAUGUUUUUCCAAGAAAGAAUACGCCUAUCUGAAAACAGAAUUUACCAACAAAAAAAGAAAAUCACCUUGAAACAGAACCAAAGGCUGUGAAUUUCUUGC